AGCUUUCUGAAUCCGUGCAGAGAUUUUGUCACACGCAAACCUGUUAGGGCUGGUCAGACUUACAAGAUAAGUGAAGUU
rnacentral:pre_miRNA from 1 species